CGUAGGCGGUGCGGUAAGUCUGGUGUGAAAUCCCCGAGCUUAACUCGGGUCCCGCGCCAGAGACUGCCGUGCUUGAGUGUGGGAGAGGAGAGUGGAAUUCCCGGUGUAGCGGUGAAAUGCGUAGAUAUCGGGGGGAACACCCGUGGCGAAGGCGGCUCUCUGGACCACUACUGACGCUGAGGCGCGAAAGCCGGGGGAGCAAACAGGAUUAGAUACCCUGGUAGUCCCGGCCCUAAACGAUGAACACUUGGGGUGGCGGGUCUCAACCCCCGCUGUCCCGGAGCUAACGCGUUAAGUGUUCCGCCUGGGGAGUACGGUCGCAAGGCUGAA
rnacentral:rRNA from 1 species